CUGGGUUCAGGCAAUUCUCCUGCCUCAGCCUCCUGAGCUGUUUUUAAUAAAAAUAUAUAGAUGAUAGAUAAUUUUGGAGAUUGCAUUUCCCCACCGUCACUGCCAGCCUCAUUUUUCUUCCAUCCUCUGCAGCACAGCCUCUCCCACAAAUUUAGUAAAGUCAUCCUGUUCACAUUUUUGUCUUUUUACUAUAUAUGUUCUUGUUCAUAAAUAUAUUGUAAUUAUAAAAAGUCAUCGGUAUAUUUCAGCUUAUCUUUUUUAAUUUAACAUUGUGUUUGUUGGAUUAUUUUACUCUUGCCCCAGUGCACCAUGUAAAUCUCGUGAAUCGACAGGUAGCAAUAGAUCAGCAAUAGUAAAGUAACUGAUAGGGGCCAGUUAACUGAAUGACCCUUUUAAGAAGAGAUCUCAAAGAGGUAGGCUAGGUAAGCUAAAAAAAAUUAUCAGGGCAAAAUGCAGGGAGGUGGAAGUGAAAGCAGUUGAGAGUCAGAGUGGGCUGAGAUAAAUGAGUGGAGCUGCAGCUGUAGGAGCCAAGAGGGCACGUUCUACUCCAGUGGACAUCAAGCUUGCUGGUGAGCAGUUUAGGAGAUGCUCCUUGUUUUACAGCAAAUCUUUUUAUGUGAUCUUGAGCAAACCACUCCCUUUGAUUGCUCCUUUCUGCUCCUUGGUCCUCCUGUGUCAAAUAAAACCCCAGAAUUGCAGAGCCAAAAUGCAAAUAAAUAGAACUCCUCACUCAACGCCCCUCAGUUUAUAAGUAAGGAAAUGAAGACCCAGUAAAACAUUAUGAUUUAGAGAUACGUGUCAAGGCAGAACCAGAGGCUGGGCUUGGCCUAGGAAAAGUUGUUCCCCUUGAUUACAUUUUCCAAAGGUUAUACCUUUUCCACAGUUUUCUGAGGUAACGUGUUGAUGGACUUGACAGUUAUAGAAACAGUAGGAAGUGGUGUAAAGCCAAGACCAUGUUUACUAAACAGUGCUGCCCUUUUUUUUUUUUUUUUUUUUUUUUUUUUAACAUCAUACAGAUUAGAAAGCUGGUGCUCAGGGAAUUUAAGCAACUUGCCCAGAGUCACGUAGCUUGGAAGUGUUAGAGCCAAGAUUUGGACCCCAGUCUUUCUCACUUUCACAGACUUGCUUUUAACCACUGUGUUAUGCUAUGCUGCCUCAGUAUAAGCUCCUUUCAAAACAAGUCGUUUCCAAUCUAUUUCUGACAUGUAAGCCCAGAAGUUUUCAGAUUUAUAAUGGCAUUCUUAUUUUUUCUCUGCAAGUGUUAGAGAACAGGGUGUCUGCAAUGGAGUAGAGCUUUAGAAAUGAGGAUAAAACAUUUGGUUUGGUGUUCAUAUUAAGAACUCUAAUAUCAAAGGCAGGAAACUUGGUAAUUAAUAUUUUAAAUGGACUGGAGAGGUCACAGGUAUUAAAAUCAAUAUUUUGAUGACAAGAUAACAGUGUAGGAGCAAAGAAUUGGAGGAGUUUAGCAAAAUUAUGAAUUAAGUGGAUAUGUAAACAGCAGAUUAUGAAAGAGAAACAAAGAUUACCUGGAAAGAGUUUUGUGACUUACCAGAAUUCAGAGUCAACUGAAUUAUCAGAAUGGGCAGAAAAAGGAAAUAUCAAAGAAAAGUUUGCUGAUAGAAAAUUAGAUAAAGAAGAUGCCAUGGAAAUGUUUUUUAGUGCAAAUACACUAUUGCUUAUGGCUGAAGACAGAAAUAAGACUAUGUGUAACUUCCAGAUGAAGUUCAGGCGUAGAGAGAGGGCUAAAUAAACAAGCACGUAGACCUGAGAAUUCUUGUUGAUUGAUCUUUGGAAAUUUGGUAUGAAUGUGAUCAGUUUAACCAUGCCUUAGCUACUGGAUCAAAGGAAACAUCUAUUGGCUUUGGGUGAUGAGAAUCUGGAAAAUUGACAAAAACUGAAAAAACCAAAACCAAAGGAAAAAAAAAAAAAAACAGAAUGAAGAAUGCCAUUUAAAAAAUCUUAAGAGGCGGAGUCUGAUGUUACAAGACUCUUUGACUCCAUUAUUCUCAAUUCUAACAUUUAAGUUAGGUGAUUAUAGGCAUAGAAUUUCUUU